GAUCAUGGCUCAGGAUGAACGCUAGCUACAGGCUUAACACAUGCAAGUCGAGGGGCAUCAGCUUGGUUUGCUUGCAAACCAAAGCUGGCGACCGGCGCACGGGUGAGUAACACGUAUCCAACCUGCCUCAUACUCGGGGAUAGCCUUUCGAAAGAAAGAUUAAUAUCCGAUAGCAUAUAUUUCCCGCAUGGGUUUAUAUUAAAGAAAUUCGGUAUGAGAUGGGGAUGCGUUCCAUUUAGG
rnacentral:rRNA from 1 species